GGCUUCGCAGUCGAGUGGUAAGGACACUUGUCUCGGACAUUGGAGUCCUGGGUUCGAUCUCCGGUCGAGAACCU